UGUCAGGUUUUUUUCUUUAUUUGCGAAGUUCUUAACGUCAAGUUGGAAUCAGUAGUCAUUUCCAUCAUUUGAACAAAAUCAAUUUUAUUACAAAUUAAAAUCAAAAUGUUGGGUCGCACAAGUCUUUUGGCUCGUAAUAUCACCCAGAGUUUGGUCAGGCACCACAGCCAUGGCGGUAUUCCCGGCGAGAACUUGCCUUUCGGUCUGAAUAACCGCUACAAGUUGACCGCUUACUUUAUACUUUUCUUCGGUUCUGGAUUGGCUGCUCCGUUCUUGGUCGUCAGACAUCAACUGCUGAAGAAGUAAAAUUUAAGGCCCAACUUUGUAAGCAUAAAUGAUGGAAUUUUGGCUGGAAAACUUUUGAAAGCUAUGACCAACUAUUUAAAAGUGUGUUAUGUAUGAUUAAGAUAAAAGUGAAACUAUUUUCACCAAUAAAAAGUAUGUCAUACUAAAAGGUCUUGAAUUUUUUAAUUAAUAUUUGGCAAGCGAAUUUUGAAUUUGUGAAAAUAUAAUGAGCGGACAUGGUGGAUAUGAAUAAUUUUGGCAGAAAAUAAAAAAAACAAUACUUGAUAGGAAUGUAAAUGAUUCCUUAGGGCGAUACAUCCUUUUUAUAUAUAAAAAAAUCAUAUAACUUUUAAAUAUUGUCCGAAUUGUCUAUUUUAUUCCAUAUCAAGCAUUUGUAGGAUUCCCAAAACUGUGGGGAAUUAUUAAAAUGUAAAUACUGUAGAUUUUUAAAUACACCUAGUGUCACCUAGCUUCGAAAGAAAACUUUUUAAGUUAAAAAAAGUAUACUUUGACAUAUCUGUUAAAAAACCGUCAUCCACAAAAAAAUACUUUCAAGAACUGAAUCCUACAUAUAUAAAUAUUACAAACAUUUCAGAGUGAAUUGGCUGAACUUUUGAUUGGAAAUAUACAAAUCCACUAAAAUGACUGGUCGAUUAGGUAUGCUUGCCCAUAGAAUACGUCAAGUUUCAACCACAAUGGUACGACAAGGCGGACAUGGCAGACCCGGUUGUCCGGGUGAAAAUCUUCCAAUAAACUUGAAUGCUGGAAAAUUCAAAAUAACUAUGAUUAUGACACUAUUCUUUGGAGUCGGCUUGGGCGCUCCUUGGCUCGUAGUCAUGUGGUCAAUGGUAAAAGGCAAAUAAUGGUAAAAUUAAAUUAACAAAACAAUGUUAAUUAUAACACAACGUGUUUGUACAAAAUAAAUAUAAUGCUGUAUUAAAAAACAAAAA